rnacentral:rRNA from 1 species
GACGAACGCUGGCGGCGUGCCUAAUACAUGCAAGUAGAACGCUGAAGAGAGGAGCUUGCUCUUCUUGGAUGAGUUGCGAACGGGUGAGUAACGCGUAAGUAACCUGCCUGGGAGCGGGGGAUAACUAUUGGAAACUAUAGCUAAUACCGCAUACAAUUGAUUAUUGCAUGAUAAUUAAUUGAAAGAUGCAAUUGCGUCACUACCAGAUGGACCUGCGUUGUAUUAUCUAGUUGGUGAGGUAACGGCUCACCGAGGCGACGAUACAUAGGCCACCUGAGAGGGUGAUCGGCCACGCUGGUACUGAGACACGGACCAUACUCCUACAGGAGGCAGCAGUAAAGAAUCUUCGGCAAUGGGGGGAACCCUGACCGAACAACGCCUCGUGAGUGAAGAACGUUUUCGGAUCGUAAAGCUCUGUCCUAAAGAAGAACGGGUGUGAGAGUGGAAAGUUCACACUGUGACUGUAUCUUAGCCAAAAGGGACGGCUAACUACGUGCCAGCAGGCAGCGGUAAUACGUAUGUCCCGAACGUUGUCCGGGAUUUAUUGGGGGUAAAGUGGGGCGCUGGGGGUUUUAUAAAGUCAGAAGUUAAAGGUUGUGGCCUUAACCAUACGAUGGUUUUGGACACUUUUUAGCUUCAUUGCGGAAGGGGAGAGUGAAAUUCCAUGUGUAGCGUGGAAAUGCGCUACAUAUAUGGAGGAACACCGGUGGCGAAAGCGGCUCUCUGGGCUGGAACUGACGCUGAAGCUCCAAAGCGUGGGGAGCCAACAGGAUUAGAUACCCUGGUAGUCCACGCCCUAAACCAUGAGUGCUAAGUGUUAGGCCCUUUCCGGGGCUUAGUGCCGCAGCUAACGCAUUAAGCACUCCGCCUGGGGAGUACGACCGCAAGGUUGAAACUCAAAGGAAUUGACAGGGGCCCGCACAAGCGGUGGAGCAUGUGGUUUAAUUCGAAGCAACGCGAAGAAACUUACCACGUCUUGACAUCCCUCUGAUCGCUCUACAGAUAUAGUUUUCCUUCGGGACAGAGGUGACAGGUGGUGCAUGGUUGUCGUCGGCUCGUGUCGGGAGAUGUUGGGUUAAGUCCCGCAACGAGCGCAACCCCUAUUGUUAGUUGCCAUCAUUCAGUGGGGCACUCUAACUCGACUGCCAGUAGUAAUCCGGAGGAAGGUGGGGAUGACGUCAAAUCCUCAUGCCCCUUAUGACCUGGGCUACACCCGUGUUCCAAUGGCUGGUACCACGAGUCGCAAGCCGGGGGCGGCAAGUUAUUCUAUGAAACCCAGUUUCAGUUGGGAUUGUAGGCUGCAAUUGGCCUACAGGAAGUGGGAAUCGUUAGUAAUCGCGGAUCAGCACGCCGCGGUGAAUACGUUCCCGGGCCU